GGCAAGGAGGUCACACCUGUUCCCAUGCCGAACACAGAAGUUAAGCUCCUUAGCGCCGAUGGUAGUCGGGCUUACGUCCCGCUAGAGUAGGACGUUGCCAGGC
rnacentral:rRNA from 1 species